GUUAUGCAGGCUACGGAGGAACCGUUAUGCCUAGGCUUUCCAGGUGGAUGGCUCCACUAGCACGUCAGCGUACCGGUCCUGUCGGUUACGCGGUCCUCGGUCUCAUCGCAGCGGGACUUCUCGCCGCGCUUGUCUUCUCCACCUCUAGCCGUGUCAUCAUCGGCAGUCUCUUCGCCCUCGGCGUCGUGUUCCACCUGUGGGACGACCGCCGGCUCCGACGGCUCGCGCUUUCUCGCUCGGGAGAGGAUCUCUGCACCUUCGCACGCGCCUUCGACCGACGCACGACCGAUUUCUGGGUCGUCCGUGCCGUCUAUGACGAGCUCCGCCCGUGGUGUCGGUUUCGCGGCGGGCAGCUGCCGCUCCGCGCCUCCGAUGCGCUAAAAGGUGACCUC
rnacentral:misc_RNA from 1 species